rnacentral:tRNA from 1 species
ACUGGGGUAGCUCAGUAGUUGAGUAUCUGCCUAUGAACCAGGAGGUCAUGGUUCAAUUCCCUGCCAGGGCA